GCCAGGCGAGGUGGUGCGUGCCUGUAAUCCCAGCCCUCGGGAGGCCGAGGCAGGAGGAUCACUAGUUCAAAGCCAGCCUUAGUGAGGCCCUAGGCAGCUUAGAUUCUGUCUCAA
rnacentral:sRNA from 1 species